UACGUAGGUGGCAAGCGUUGUUCGGAAUUAUUGGGCGUAAAGGGCGCGUAGGCGGUUUGUUAAGUCGGCUGUGAAAGCCUGGGGCUCAACCCCAGAGGGUCGGCCGAUACUGGCAAACUAGAGUACGGAAGAGGUAGCUGGAAUUCCCGGUGUAGCGGUGAAAUGCGUAGAGAUCCGGAAGAACACCGGUGGCGAAGGCGGCCUGCUGGGCUAUGGCUGACACUGAGGCGCGACAGCGUGGGGAGCAAACAGG
rnacentral:rRNA from 1 species